rnacentral:rRNA from 1 species
UACGUAGGGGGGCAAGCGUUGUCCGGAUUUAUUGGGCGUAAAGAGCGUGUAGGCGGCCAGACAGGUCAGCUGUGAAAACUCGAGGCUCAACCUCGAGACGUCGGUUGAAACCGUCUGGCUAGAGUCCGGAAGAGGAGAGUGGAAUUCCCCGGUGUAGCGGUGAAAUGCGCAGAUAUCGGGGAAGGAACACCCGAUGGCGAAGGCGCAGCUCGCGGUGGACGGUACUGACGCUGAGACGCGAAAGCGUGGGGAG